rnacentral:misc_RNA from 1 species
GAUGAAGAACGUAGUGAAAUGCGAUAAGUAAUGCGAAUUGCAGAAUUCAGUGAGUCAUCGAAUCUUUGAACGCACAUUGCGCCCUGUGGUAUUCCGCAGGGCAUGCCUGUUCGAGCGUCAUUUCAACCCUCAAGCUCUGCUUGGUGUUGGGCCCUGCCCGCUGCGGCCGGCCCUAAAGACAGUGGCGGUGCCGCCUGGCCCUGAGCGUAGUACAUCUCUCGCUCCAGUGCCCGGUGGUAGCCUGCCAGAACCCCAACUCUCGUGGUUGAUCUCGGAUCAGGUAGGGAUACCCGCUGAACUUAAGCAUAUCAAUAAGCGGAGGA